rnacentral:lncRNA from 1 species
UCUCAGCGUCCUCUCCGGUGGAGGACAGAAGGCAUCCCAGGGUCGCGGGAGAGCCAGCGCAAAGUGGAAGGCACCUUGUACGCUGUGAAGCGGAGAUGCAGAUGUUACCCUAACCAGAAGCCCACCCCGCCACAAAUACUGGAGCGCCCAGCAUGCGUGCGCCACCCGCUUCCCUGCAGAGGGCGCCGCGGGCCCGCCUCGCCGAGCGCGGGGUGAGAUCCCAGUAGCCCAGAGCAGCCCGCGGGGCAGGCCCGGGCUGCCGCGGACUCCUCUUGCAGAAAAGCCUUUGAUGCUGUAUUCUUAGCACAUGGAACCCUAAACCAAAGCCUGCACUGGGGCAUUUGUGAGAAGCGUGUGUGCAAAGCCUGAGAGACUCCCCUUUUGGGCAUGCUGCUGGGCAGGGGUGUUCUGGUUUGACUUUGUACAUUUGGCAGUUUUGGAGUUUGCCCACCAGAUAUGCCAUCCAAGAAGACCAAAAGUACAGCAGGAUGAUUGUGAACAAGACCAGGGACCUCAGCCCUUGCAAAAAAAGGUUGAAGACUAUGUACAUGAACGACAUU